AGUGAACGCUGGCGGUAGGCCUAACACAUGCAAGUCGAACGGCAGCACAGUAAGAGCUUGCUCUUACGGGUGGCGAGUGGCGGACGGGUGAGGAAUACAUCGGAAUCUACUUUUUCGUGGGGGAUAACGUAGGGAAACUUACGCUAAUACCGCAUAUGACCUACGGGUGAAAGCAGGGGAUCUUCGGACCUUGCGCGAUUGAAUGAGCCGAUGUCGGAUUAGCUAGUUGGCGGGGUAAAGGCCCACCAAGGCGACGAUCCGUAGCUGGUCUGAGAGGAUGAUCAGCCACACUGGAACUGAGACACGGUCCAGACUCCUACGGGAGGCAGCAGUGGGGAAUAUUGGACAAUGGGCGCAAGCCUGAUCCAGCCAUACCGCGUGGGUGAAGAAGGCCUUCGGGUUGUAAAGCCCUUUCGUUGGGAAAGAAAAGCAGCAGGUUAAUACCCCGCUGUUCUGACGGUACCCAAAGAAUAAGCACCGGCUAACUUCGUG
rnacentral:rRNA from 1 species